rnacentral:lncRNA from 10 species
CUGCUAGUUUCCUACCCAAAGUCUACUAAACCAUAUUCUUAACUAAUAAAACCUGUAAAUUUCUAGGUGCAGAAAAAAAAUGUCUGGCUUUCCUUCCUGAUGGGGUGGCCAGUGAAAUGUCAGCAAAUGCAUUGGAUGAGAUUGCUGGAAAACAUCUUUGCUCCUGUCCCUUCUUUCUUAAAUAGAACAUGGGCAGGAUAGCUGGAGGCUCAGCAGCCUUGUCUGUGGACCUGAGGUGACCUUAAGGAAAAGCACUAAUAAGGAUGGAGAAAUUAAAAACAAAAACAGCCUGUGACAUAGAAGGCAUCACAGCACCACCACACUGGCCCUCGGCUACUUACAUUUAGGUUGGUGCAAAGGUAAUCACGCUUUUUGUCAUUAAUUUCAACAGCAAAAACCAAUAUUACCUCCAGUCAGCGAGGGUGGUCCCAGUGUGUCCGAAAUUGGUGGGUUCUUGGUCUCACAGCCUUCAAGAAUGAAGCCGCAGACCCUCACAGUGAGUGUUACAGUUCUUAAAGGUGGCAUGUCCUGAGUUUGUUCCUUCUGACGUUCCAGCCUGUUCAGAGUUUCUUCCUUCUGGUGGGUUCGUGGUCUCGCUGGCUCAAAAGUGAAGCUGCAGAUCUUCGGGUGUUAACAGCUCUUAAGUUGGGGCGUCUGGAGUUGUUUGUUCUUCCCAGUGGGUUCUUUGUCUCGCUGGCUUCAGGACUGAACCUGUAAAUCUUCACCAUGAGUGUUACAGCUCAUAAAUGCAGUGUAAACCCAAAGAGUGGGCAGUAGCAAGAUUUAUUGCAAAGAGCUAAAGAACAAAACUUACACUGUGGCAGGCCACUCUAGCAACUUGCUAGUGCUAGCGCGGAGCAGCCUGCUUUUAUUCUCUUAUCUGGCCCCACCCACAUCCUGCUGAUUGGUCCAUUUUACAGAGAGCCGAUUGGUCUGUUUUACAGAGAGCUGAUUGGUCCAUUUUGACAGAGUGCUGAUUGGUGCGUUUACAAUCCCUGAGUUCGACACAAAAGUUCUCCACGGCCCCACUAAAUUAGCUAGAAACAGAGUGUCGAUUGGUGCAUUCACAAACCCUGAGCUAGACACAGGGUGCUGAUUGGUGUGUUUACAAACCUUGAGCUAGAUACAGAGUGCUGAUUGGUGCAUUCACAAUCCCCCAGCUAGACAUAAAGAUUCUCCAAGUCCCCACCAGACUCAGGAGUCCAGCUGGCUUCAUCCAGUGGAUCUCACACCGGGGCCGCAGGUGGAGCUGCCUGCCACUCCGUCGCCGUGCGCUGGCACUCCUCAGACCUUGGGCAGUGGAUGGGAUCGGGCGCCGUGGAACAUGGGGCAGCGCUCGUCGGGGAGACUCAGGCCCGGCAGGAGCAUCUGGCAGUGCGGAGGGAGACUCAGGCAUGGCAGGCUGCAGGUCCCCAGCCCUGCCCGAGGGGAGGCAGCUAAGGCACGGCAAGAAAUCCAGCACAGAGCCGGUGGGCCGGCACUGCUGGGGGACCCGGCACACCCUCCGCAGCUGCUGGCCCGGGUAGUAAGCUCCUCACUGCCCGGGACUUGCGAGCCGGCCUGCGGCUCCCAGUGUGAGGCCCGCUGAGCCCACGCCCACCCGGAACUCGUGCUGGCCCGCAGGCACCCGCGAAGCCCUGGUUCCCGCCCAUGCCUCUCCCUCCACACCUCCCUGCAAGCUGAGGGAGCUGGCUCCGGUCUCGGCCAGCCCAGCAAGGGGCUCCCACAGUGCGGCGGCGGGCUGGAGGGCUCCUCAAGUGCCGUCAAAGUGGGAGCCCAGGCAGAGGAGGCGCCGAGAGCGAGCGUGGGCUGCGAGGGCUACCAGCACACUGUCAACUCUCACCACGGCCAUCCCUCUUUCCAAUCAAGCCGACCUGGAAAACAGAAACUCAAAGCAAAGAGCUCAUCCUACUUCCUCUUUACCCUCCUGUCUGUCACCUUGCUGAAGAAUCUCACUCAUGUGCACAUCAGUUUCAAGUUCUGUCUCUAUUCUCUGCAUGGCCACGGAGAAGCCACCAGCUGAUACCAGAGCGGCAAAGGGUUGUGUGGGAGAUGAGGAAUUCCGCCUGGAAGAGGCUGAGUGCUGGAGUCCGGUGGUGCGAUCUCGGCUCACUGCAACCUCCGCCUCCCGGGUUCACACCAUUCUCCUGCCUCAGCCUCCGGAGUAGCUGGGGUUACAGGCCCCCAGUCCACUUUCUUGGAGUCUGCUGUGUCUGACCAAAAAGCCCAUCUUCGCCACAUCUAAAGCUGGAAGUUCAUUUGCCAGCGUUGUUUAGAGCAAAAAGGUGAGAAAAGUAGCUUAAAGUAUAAGACAAUUUCUGGGGGCGGCCAUAGAUGGCCAUUUUACAUAUCAUAUCUGGUUCUUAAAUUUGUACCAGAAUGAAUAUUUGACGUGAAUGGAUAUUUGUAAAAGAUUAUACAUUCAAAGUUAUAAACUACUAAUCCCAUAAUUUGGUUUCGGAAGUCUGUUUCAGCAAAUGAUUUGUACUAUUUGAAAAUACAUAUUAUUUAAAUUGGCUAAAAAUAUUUUCAUAUUGGUUACUAAAACUACUUUAAUUAUUACGGUGGAAAGGCACCCAUGUGUAAAACAAGAGACUUUGCCUGUUCUUCCAACAUAAUGUGCAUUAUAAACACUCCAUCUGUCAGGUGCUUGCUGUUUAAUGUACUAUCAAGGUCUUUG